GUGUAAAUUUUAUAAAAAAAUUAUUUCAUAGAAGCAGUAAAUUUCAGAAAAUCUAUCGAUCUUGGUCCCUCUAUCGAUCUAUGUUGAUCUCCGUCGAUCUCGGUCUGUCUUUCUCUGCCGAUCUCUCUCUGUCGAUCGCCCUCCCAAACGCUUCGUCUCUCUCUGGAAUUCUAGAGAGAGAAACACCAAGCCCUCCCAAACGCCUCUUCUCUCACACAUUGCCAUUAUUUGAACAACAACACAAAUACAGUUUGAUUCGAUUGUAGGAGCUCUUCGCAAUUUUCGUUCCUUUCUCUCUACCCGAAAACAUCAACAGAUCUGGACUUGGGUAACUUCUUGGCUCCAAUUUGAUCAGGGAGCUAAAAUUGCAGAUCAACAUGUAUGCAUAUCAUGCUAGGGGACAUAUAUUGAUGAAUCAGAUCCUUGGAAUAACCCGCCAUGGAAGCUUGGAGAUGAAAAUAGCUCAACGAAUACCUGAGGAUUCAUUCUCAAAUAUCAGAAAUUGCAUAGGCAUCGCUAGGGGUUUUAUGCAUGAUUUGAGCAGUGUAAAGAAGGGAAAUGCCUCACUGGAAGUUGUCUUGUUAUCCGUUCCUGAUGGCUACCACUGCGUGGAUCUCUGUCUAUAUAAAGAAAGUCAAAUCGUACUAUUAUUAAACGAAUCAACUACUAGUUCUGAAAGCUCCAGUAAUGGUUGUAUGAUGAUUGUGCAAGCGAGUGCCCUUCCCUUUGUAUCUAUUUCAAGAUCCACUGGUCUAAACUGUUGGAAUCUGCAUGAACUGAAGUUGUAGGUUAAACUUUGUAACAAGGAAGGACUAAAGGCAAGUUCCAUUGCACUUACUGCACUUGCAGAGUAUACCGUUGGAGAUCAGUUCUCAGAUGGUUUGCCGGAAGGACACCUCAAAAAGUGUUUUUGACGUAUGGACAGAGAUUUUUCAAAAGAGAAAAGUAAAAUGAGAAAGGAAGACAGCUAGUGGCUGCAGCAGCUUCUCCAAUGAAUUUGACUUUCUGCACUCCAUGAUUUCUAACCGGUAGGUUAAGAACUCCUGUUAAAACUUUCAUUUUUUCUUUCAUCAUUUCUAGUGAAAGGUCAUCUAUCUUGACUGUUCAAUGAUUGCCAACUAUCCAGCGAUGACUACAAUUUAAUUUUAGAUGGGAUCCAUGAAAAUAGUUUACAACUUCACUAUCAUGAUCCAGUUAUGCGAAAGACUGUAAGUCAUAAUUGCAAUAAAAACCUUUUGUGCUAUGAAAUCUGAUACGGACCCAUAAAAUAGCUUCCCUUUGACAAAUAGGACUUGUAACAACUGACGGCAUGUAAUUCGGACCCAUAGGUUGGGAGUUAGAGCCGAAUACGCCUUAAACUUAGUUGAAAGAGGGCAUUCUAGGGGCAAAAAUUCAAAACAGCCCCCGAACCACCAUUGCAUUUUUACCAUAUUAUUUGCUUUGAAUAUACCAUUCUUGGAAGACUUGCUGAGACAAUGUUAAGAAGAGUUGAACAAUCAGUAAAUUCAUACAUUCUUGUCUAGAUUGGAACUUGAUGGCCGGCAUGCUGACUUUGAUCUUUCUGGCAUUUGUUUUGGUUGGAUGAUGUACUGUAUUUUCUUCCUUUGGUACAUCAAGCACCAUAGGAUUUGGUUUUGGAACCACUCCAACAUUUGGGCAAUCAACUUCAGCUUCGGCUGGCAGCAGCUUUUUUGGAACUGCUCUGUCUUCUUUUGGGGAUCAGAAUUCCUUCUUAGGAUCCCAGUCCACGACACCAACAUUUGGAACUACAGGCUUUGAACAGUCAGUUUUUUGCAAUCAACAUGGACGAAGUAGAGUAGCAGCUUGCACUGCUACUGCUGAAGUAGAUGACGGAAGUAGUGCUGCUAAACUGGAGUCCAUUUCUGCCAUGACCAUUAACAAAGACAAAAGCCAUGAAGAAUUGAGGUAGGAGAGCGUUUGGAAAUUACUAGUGUUGGUGAUCCAUCUGGAAGGGGUCUAGGUUUUAGCUAUGUUCGCAUUGCUCGAAGGCUCCAAUAUCAAAUGCAAUGGUGAAGAAAAAGCAAGCUGUUAGUUGGGGAGGUUCAACUGUAACUGGAACAGAUGUUGAAUUUGUGUGUUCUGAAUCUGUUCUGAAUCUGUCUUUUAAAUUUAAAUGCUGUAACUAGUGAAUCUGUAUUUUAAAUUUAGAUGCAAUGGUGAAUCUGUGUGUAACUGGUGAAUCUGUGUGUUCUGAAUCUGUUCUGAAUCUGUAUUAGAUGUUGAAUCUAUUUUAAAUUUAGAUACUGAA